UGCCGGAUCUCAGCCAAGUUGACGCGGUCUGUAAGAAUUGUUAUAGGUUAUAAGAAGUAAAUAUGUUAAUAUAGGAAGUAAAUAUUGAUAGAUGGGUUAGUUACUUAAUUUUAGGGAUUGUAUAAUCAUAGGCUUGAUUUUCCUUCCUAUUUAGAUAAUGUCCCUCAUGUAUAAAUAGGUUGUAAUCUUUAUUGUGAUAUAACAAUAAAUAUUAUCUUUCUACAUGGUAUCAGAGCCUUUCUCGUAGAGAUAUAUUUUUUUUCUCUCUUGUCAAGCUUUAAAUUUUUUUUUUUUGAGACUUAGGGCUCUGUUCAUUUGGGUUACCCAUAAAGUGUAACAUUUGGAUCUCACCAUCGCUGGAGUUGCCACACCGUCCCCUUAUCAGAUCUGAGGUUUGUUUGCCAUUCAGGUGUUGGGUGGAGGUGUUUUUUUUUUGCGGUACUGUUCAUCAGUACUAUUCACGGGUACUGUUUAUCGAUACUGUUGAAUAAGAAUCAGCGCACACAAAUGGCGCAUAUGGCAGUUGAAGCUCCUUCAGAUCAGGGAAUUUUAAUAUCUACAAAUGAGUAUGCACAAUUCAUCCAAUACCAGGCAUCUCUGAAAUCCUCUAAUUCCUCCUCUAUCACUGCAAUUGCCGAGUCAGGUAACUCUAUUGCAUGUCUUGUAUCUUCAUCCUCCAAAUGGGUUAUUGAUUUUGGUGCUACCGACCAUAUGUCAGGUAAUUCUACCCUUUUGUCCAAUCUCGAGUCUCAUGCAUCGCCUUCUUAUAUUACUCUUGUUGAUGGUACUAAAUCUUUUGUCAUGGGUUCUGGUCAUGUCAACUUAACUCCUUCUCUUUCUGUAUCCUCUGUGUUAUAUCUCCCUAAGUUCGCAUUUAAUUUGCUUUUUGUUAGUAAACUCACUCGUGCAUUGAAUUGUUGUGUCUCAUUCUUUCCUGAUCACUGUAUUUUUCAGAAUCUUUCGACGAAGCAGAUUAUUGGUAGAGGGCGUGAGUCAGAGGGUCUCUACGUCUUGGAUCAGCAACUACCUAGAUCUCUUGCAUAUUCCACGCGUUUAAGACCUUUUGAUGUUCAUUGUCGUUUGGGGCAUCCUUCUCUCUCGGCUUUGAAGAGGUUAUAUCCACAGUUUCAUUAUUUGUCUGUUUUAGAUUGUGAGUCUUGUCAAUUUGCCAAAUAUCAUCGUUUACCUUCAGUGUCUCGAGUCAAUAAACGGGCUUCGUCCCCCUUUGAGUUAGUACAUUCAGAUGUUUGGGGUCCUUGUCCUACUGUGUCUAAAUCUGGCUUUAAGUACUUUGUUACUUUUGUUGAUGACUUUUCUCGUACUACUUGGUUAUUUUUAAUGAAGAGUCAUUUAAAAUUAUUUUCUAUCUUUUGUGCGUUUCAUGCUAAAAUCCAAACCCAAUUCAAUAUUCCCAUUCGUAUGUUGCAAAGUGAUAAUGCUAAAGAGUAUCUCUCUGGAGAAUUUCAAUCUUAUUUAUUACAAAAAGGGAUUCUUCAUCAGUCCUCUUGUGUUGACACUCUUUCACAAAAUGCAGUUGCCGACAGAAAAAAUCGACAUCUUCUUAAAGUAGCCAGAGCCCUCUUAUUCGAAAUGAAAGUACCUAAAUGUUUUUGGGCUGAUGCUGUAUCUACGGCUUAUUUUUUUAUCAAUCACAUGCCUUCCUCCAUCCUUCAUGGUGAUAUUCCUUAUAAUAUUUUGUUUCCCACUAAAUCUUUAUUUCCUAUUGAGCCACGUAUCUUUGGGUGUACUUGUUUUGUUCGUGAUGUUCGUCCACAGGUUACUAAAUUGGAUCCCAAAUCACUCAAAUGUGUCUUCCUUGGCUACUCUCGACGUCAAAAAGGGUAUCAUUGUUUUUCUUCUUAUUUGAAUCGGUAUCUUGUGUCUACGGAUGUAACAUUUUUUGAGUCCACUCCGUUUUUUCCACCAUGUUAUACACUGUUCGCUCUCUGUCUCCUCAGACUACUACACUUUUCGCUCAUGUGCCAAGUCGCCCUCCCAUCUUUCAUGUGUAUUCCAAACGCUUAGAGGACUCUGACGCCGCUCCACUACCCGCUUCUUCGUUGACAGAUCCUGCUCCCACUGAUCCUUCACUGUCUGAUUUGGAUUUGCCCAUUGCUCUUCGCGAGGGUAAACGUACUUGCACUUAUCCUAUUUCAACUUGUGUCUCUUAUGAUCAAUUAUCCUCUUCUUCUCGUUGUUUUGCCACUGCUUUAGAUUCUAUUUCAGUUCCCAAAAUUGUUAUUGAGGCUUUGUCCCAUCCUGGUUGGCGUGCUGCAAUGGAAGAGGAAAUGAUGGCUCUUAACACUAAUGGUACUUGGGAAUUGAUAUCCUUGCCCCCAGGAAAGCGGGCUAUUGGGUGCAAAUGGGUGUUUGCCGUGAAAGUAAAUCCUGAUAGAUCUGUUGCUCGCCUCAAGGCCCGUUUAGUGGCCAAAGGUUAUGCACAAACUUGUGGAGUUGACUAUUCUGAUACAUUUUCCCCAGUUGCCAAGCCCACAUCUGUUCGAUUGUUUAUUUCCUUGGCAGCUACACAUGAUUGGCCUUUGCAUCAACUGGAUAUUAAAAAUGCUUUUCUUCAUGGUGAUCUUCAGGAGGAGGUUUAUAUUGAGCAACCACCUGGUUUUGUUGCUCAGGGGAAGUCAGGCAAGGUUUGUAGACUUCGAAAAUCCCUUUAUGGCUUGAAACAAAGUCCUCGGGCAUGGUUUGGCAAGUUUAGUGAGGUGGUCCAACAGUUUGGAAUGAAGAUGAGUAAGUGCGAUCACUCAGUGUUUUAUAAAAAUUUUGAUAGUGGAGUAAUUCUGCUUGUAGUAUAUGUGGAUGAUAUCGUUAUCACAGGAAGUGACAUUGCUGCCAUCACAUCCCUAAAAGAAUUUCUUAAAACACAAUUUCAUACAAAGGAUUUGGGUUCAUUGAAAUAUUUCUUGGGAAUCGACGUUAUGCGGUGUAAGAAAGGCAUUUUCUUGUCUUAAAGAAAAUAUGUUCUUGAUUUGUUAGCAGAAACAGGAAAAUUGGGUGCUAAGCCUUGUAGUGCUCCAAUGACCCCUAACCUUCAACUUACCACAGAAGACAGUGAGCCAUUUGCAGAUCCUGAAAGGUAUAGAAGAUUAGUUGGCAAGCUGAAUUAUUUGACGGUGACUCGUCCUGAUAUUGCAUAUUCAGCGAGAGUGGUAAGUCAGUUUAUGUCCUCUCCUACUGUUGCCCAGUGGGAUGCUUUGGGACAGAUUCUUUAUUACCUUAAAGGGGCCCCAGGGUGAGGGCUAUUCUAUGGUAACCAUGGACACUCAAAUAUUGAAUGCUUUUCUGAUACUGAUUGGGCAAGCUCGAAGGUAGAUAGGAGGUCAACUACUUGGUAUUGUGUCUUUGUGGGAGGUAACUUGGUCUCAUGGAAAAGUAAGAAGCAAAAUGUGGUCUCCCGUUCUAGUGCUGAAUCUGAAUAUCGAGCCAUGGCACAAGCUGUUUGUGAAGUCUUAUGGGUACGUCAACUAUUAGAAGAAGUUGGAUUCACAAAUUCGGUGCCUGCUAAGUUGUGGUGUGAUAAUCAAGCAACUAUCCACAUUGCCUCUAAUCCAGUAUUUCACGAGAAGACUAAACACAUCGAGAUUGAUUGUCAUUUUGUUCGUGAAAAGGUCCAACAAAAGAUAAUAUCAACAGGACAUAUCCGAACUGGAGAACAAUUAGGAGAUAUCUUCACUAAAGCUCUAAAUGGAACUCGAGUUGAUUAUAUGUAACAAGUUGGGAAUGAUUAACAUUUAUACUCCAACUUGAGGGGGGAGUGUUAUAGGUUAUAGGAAGUAAAUAUGUUAAUAUAGGAAGUAAAUAUUGAUAGAUAGGUUAGUUACUUAAUCUUAGGGAUUGUAUAAUCAUAGGCUUGAUUUUCCUUCCUGUUUAGAUACUGUCUCUCAUGUAUAAAUAGGUUGUAAUCUUUAUUGUGAUAUAACAACAAAUAUUAUCUUUCUACAAGAACGAAGGAGAUUGUUUUGUCACUAGAGUUUCCAAACAAAACCCGUUGAAAUCCACAUGGCAAAUCAAGAAAAGCUAAUAGCUAAACAACAAAAAAGGACCAAAGGGAAAAGAGACGGUGAAAGACCUAAGAAUUGCAAACGACAUCUAAAAACCACACGAUUGAAGUCCGAAAAAGGCUGAUGCCGAUGUGAGAAGGGAAUGCGACACAAGGGCAAUUUGCCAGGCGUGAAAGAGACGUGAUAUGCAUGAGUUAACCAAACUACACAAUUAUCUCUUUAAUUCAAAGUAUUUUUAUCAUCAUAACUAGCUUCAAACAGUAGUCCUUAUGAAUAUAUGCUUAGGCAUGAUAAUAUUUUAGAAACAGCUUAAAAAGCUUCCAUCGGUG
rnacentral:lncRNA from 1 species